CUACCAUGGCAAUCACGGGUAACGGAGAAUUAGGGUUCGAUUCCGGAGAGGGAGCCUGAGAAAUGGCUACCACAUCUACGGAAGGCAGCAGGCGCGAAAAUUGCCCAAUCCCGAUACGGGGAGGCAGUGACAAGAAAUAACAACUCUCAACUUUUGUUGAGAAGUGUAAUGAGGAUAAUUUACAAACCUUACCGAAAGCAAUUGGAGGGCAAGUCUGGUGCCAGCAGCCGCGGUAAUUCCAGCUCCAAAAGCGUAUAUUAAAGUUGUUGCAGUUAAAAAGCUCGUAGUUGAAGUUCUGGUUGUAUUGGGCCUCUGCACUUGAUGCGAAGGAACCAGCAGUCAUCCGCUUGCAAGUACAUGUCCUUCCUUAACCGGUAGGCUGUAUGAGUAAGUACUUUACCUUGAGAAAAACAGAGUGUCCCAGGCAGGUUUGUCCGGAAUGCGUUAGCAUGGAAUAAUAGAACAUGACUGAAGUCUAUUUAUUGGUUAAAGGCUUUAGUAAUGAUCAAUAGGAACAGUCGGGGGCAUUCGUACUCAGCAGUCAGAGGUGAAAUUCUAAGAUUUGCUGAAGACGAACUAAUGCGAAAGCAUUUGCCAAGGAUGUUUUCAUUAAUCAAGAACGAAAGUUAGGGGAUC
rnacentral:rRNA from 1 species